GACGAACGCUGGCGGCGUGCUUAACACAUGCAAGUCGAACGAUGAAGAAAAGAGUUUAAGCUUCGGCAGAAAUUCAUUUCGGAUUAGUGGCAGACGGGUGAGUAACGCGUGAGCAACCUACCUCUUACAAAGGGAUAGCCUCGGGAAACCGGGAUUAAUACCAUAUAACAUUGCGACGAAGCAUUUCGAUGCAUUCAAAGCUACGGCGGUAAGAGAUGGGCUCGCGUCCAAUUAACCAGAUGGUGAGGUAACGGCUCACAAUAGUAACGAUGGGUAACCGGCGUGAGAGGGUGAACGGUCACACUGGAACUGAGACCCGGCCCAGACUCCUACGGGAGGAAGAAGUGGGGAAUAUUGCACAAUGGAGGGAACUCUAAUGCAGCAACGCCGCGUGAGUGAUGAAGGAAUUCGUUUCGUAAAACUCUGUUCUAUGGGAAGAAAAGGACUGUACCAUAGGAGAAAGCUCCGGCUAAAUACGUG
rnacentral:rRNA from 1 species